rnacentral:rRNA from 1 species
GAGUGAGUGGCGAACUGGUGAGUAACACGUGGGAAACCUGCCCAGAAGCGGGGGAUAACACCUGGAAACAGAUGCUAAUACCGCAUAACAACUUGGACCGCAUGGUCCGAGUUUGAAAGAUGGCUUCGGCUAUCACUUUUGGAUGGUCCCGCGGCGUAUUAGCUAGAUGGUGGGGUAACGGCUCACCAUGGCAAUGAUACGUAGCCGACCUGAGAGGGUAAUCGGCCACAUUGGGACUGAGACACGGCCCAAACUCCUACGGGAGGCAGCAGUAGGGAAUCUUCCACAAUGGACGAAAGUCUGAUGGAGCAACGCCGCGUGAGUGAAGAAGGGUUUCGGCUCGUAAAACUCUGUUGUUAAAGAAGAACAUAUCUGAGAGUAACUGUUCAGGUAUUGACGGUAUUUAACCAGAAAGCCACGGCUAACUACGUGCCAGCAGCCGCGGUAAUACGUAGGUGGCAAGCGUUGUCCGGAUUUAUUGGGCGUAAAGCGAGCGCAGGCGGUUUUUUAAGUCUGAUGUGAAAGCCUUCGGCUCAACCGAAGAAGUGCAUCGGAAACUGGGAAACUUGAGUGCAGAAGAGGACAGUGGAACUCCAUGUGUAGCGGUGAAAUGCGUAGAUAUAUGGAAGAACACCAGUGGCGAAGGCGGCUGUCUGGUCUGUAACUGACGCUGAGGCUCGAAAGUAUGGGUAGCAAACAGGAUUAGAUACCCUGGUAGUCCAUACCGUAAACGAUGAAUGCUAAGUGUUGGAGGGUUUCCGCCCUUCAGUGCUGCAGCUAACGCAUUAAGCAUUCCGCCUGGGGAGUACGGCCGCAAGGCUGAAACUCAAAGGAAUUGACGGGGGCCCGCACAAGCGGUGGAGCAUGUGGUUUAAUUCGAAGCUACGCGAAGAACCUUACCAGGUCUUGACAUACUAUGCAAAUCUAAGAGAUUAGACGUUCCCUUCGGGGACAUGGAUACAGGUGGUGCAUGGUUGUCGUCAGCUCGUGUCGUGAGAUGUUGGGUUAAGUCCCGCAACGAGCGCAACCCUUAUUAUCAGUUGCCAGCAUUAAGUUGGGCACUCUGGUGAGACUGCCGGUGACAAACCGGAGGAAGGUGGGGAUGACGUCAAAUCAUCAUGCCCCUUAUGACCUGGGCUACACACGUGCUACAAUGGAUGGUACAACGAGUUGCGAACUCGCGAGAGUAAGCUAAUCUCUUAAAGCCAUUCUCAGUUCGGAUUGUAGGCUGCAACUCGCCUACAUGAAGUCGGAAUCGCUAGUAAUCGCGGAUCAGCAUGCCGCGGUGAAUACGUUCCCGGGCCUUGUACACACCGCCCGUCACACCAUGUAGAGUU